GUCUCGAGGUGAUUAUCAUAUUGAAUUGCAAAUUCAAAGGAGCAGUUAAAUUCUGCCGGGACUU
rnacentral:tRNA from 1 species